AGAGUUUGAUCCUGGCUCAGGAUUAACGCUGGCGGCGUGCAUGAAACAUGCAAGUCGAGCGCAUCGCGUGCGGGGGUAACCCUUCACGCGUUAAGCGGCGCACGGGUGAGUAACACGUGAGCAACCUACCUUCGAGUCUGGGAUAGCCCUGAGAAAUCAGGAUUAAUACCGGAUGUGGUCAUCGCAGGACAUCCUGUGAUGUGUAAAGGCGAAAGCCGCUCGGAGACGGGCUCGCGGCCUAUUAGCUUGUUGGUGGGGUAACGGCCUACCAAGGCGAUGAUGGGUAGCUGGUCUGAGAGGACGAUCAGCCACACUGGGACUGAGACACGGCCCAGACUCCUACGGGAGGCAGCAGUUAGGAAUCUUCCGCAAUGGGCGAAAGCCUGACGGAGCAACGCCGCGUGGGUGAUGAAGACCUUCGGGUUGUAAAGCCCUGUCGGAGGGAACGAAGAUCUGACGGUACCCUCCAAGAAAGCCCCGGCUAACUACGUGCCAGCAGCCGCGGUAAUACGUAGGGGGCGAGCGUUAUCCGGAUUUACUGGGCGUAAAGCGCGUUAAGGCGGCCGGCUAAGUUGGUGGUGAAAUCGCAGGGCUCAACCCUGCAACUGCCUCCAAUACUGUCCGGCUCGAGUGCGAGAGAGGAAGAUGGAAUUCCCGGUGUAGUAGUGAAAUGCGUAGAUAUCGGGAGGAACACCAGUGGCGAAGGCGGUCUUCUGGCUCGCAACU
rnacentral:rRNA from 1 species